GUGACCAGAGAAUUUCAGAGGGAUUUUCGGGCUGAACUGAUGGGGAAUCCAUUUUGACGACAGCUGAGAAGUGAUGCGAUACCAUUGAUUUUUUUCCUUCACAACAAAAGGAAGAUUCUCAAUUAGAGGUGGUACAGAAUCUGAUUCCACCAACAUGAGUUUCCAAGCCCUAGCUCUGCACAAGGUGAAGGUUAUCUGGAGUCAUUCCACAAUGCCCUGUUGAAAAAUACCCUAAAGUGGGGGCAUUUUGGGUACACCAGCAUGAGGGAGCGGACACACCUUGCGAUUAUGGAGAACAACAAGAUUGCGGGACAGAAACCAGCAAGGAACA